GGCUGUCUUUUUUUUACAAAUAAAAGAAUUACCCUUCCUUUAUUAAAUAUCUUGAAGUAUUAAAUUCGAUAACGUAAGUAAAUAAAAACUCAAACAAAAAUAUUACUUUUUUAAGGUGUUUGUAACGACGAACAGCAAAAUCAGACACAAUACUUUGAUGAUAUUGACAUAUAACUGGGUAAUUAGCUAAUUUUAAUUAUGCAUUUAUGGAAAGUACUAAAUUCGGUGUCACUCUUAUUUUCCAUGAAUUGAAUUUCAUGAAAGAAACUUAUAUUAUUCACAUAUUUACAUCAUUUUAGUGUUACAUAUAACUUCUCUUGUAUUUAUAAAAUUAUGAAACUAUGAAACGACUUCCAUUUUAAGACGAUUGCAAUUAGUGUACAAAGCUCAAUAUAAUUGACGAUGUCAGUAAAUUUUGGUUUUGAAGACGAAAAGGUUAGCAUUUAUAAUUUCAAUUUGUUUUAUAGAAUUUGAUCAAUGAUGCAUCACUACUCAACAAAAAUAAGACGAUAUUUUAUUUGAAGGACGAUAUAAUCAAUUUUGUUUCAAACAGAUAUGUACAUAUAUAAAUCGCUUAUAACACAUAAACAGUGAAAUGGCACUGGAAACAAACAUUAGAAUGAUAGAUAUUUCCAAAAAUUCGUAAACAAAGGCUGACACAAAAAAAAGAAGAAAGAAAGGAAACACAGGAAGUGAGAAGAAGAAAGAAAAGAAAAUUGGCUAGAGCGACUAUUAUUGAUAAAACUAAAGUGAAAGGUGGUAAAUGUAUCUGGACGUUCGUCAUCAUCGAUUACGUAAAUUAAACGGAAAACGGAAAUGGCUUUUGUCUAGCAGGAAGAAAUAUGAAAAUUUUGCAACACAAUGCAACGAUACACAGAAUCUCGACCCCUUCACACACUUAUAGACGGUUUGGAUAUAAAUCACGUGGAUUUACGGCCUCAGUUAAAAAGGCUGCAAUAAAGGAAGCAGACAUGGCCGAGUAAAUCAGUGAGAGAUCGCGAAAUACAUAUCACCAUCGCUGCAACAGGGCGUGAAAAGAGCUUUA